rnacentral:tRNA from 1 species
GCCCACGUAGCCCAAUAGGCAGGAGGCAACUUGUUUAGAUCGAGUACAGUGCAUGUUCAAAUCAUGUCGUGGGCA